ensembl:lncRNA
GUUCUUGCACCUAUCUUUCUUCAUAAUGCCAAGGGCUGAGGAGAGGAGAUUCAUGAUAUGUCACCCUUCCCAAUGUGGGACUAUACCAACCAUCUGCUCCUGUCAUUGUAGGGAGACUGAAGUUUGCUAACACUAUUGCAUUUGGACACCCGACCCAGGGUACUUACACCACACUCUUGAUUAGGCUAUUUGGUUUUAUCUGGAUCUUCUCUUACCUUCACCGCUGUCUUCUGAAGAGGCCAAGACCAGAGCUUCUCAGCUGAUAAAUCACAGAAUCACAGAAUGGCUUGGUUUGGAAGGGACCUUAUAGAUCUUCUAGUUCACGGACAAGGUUGUCAACCAUCAGAUCAGGCUGCCCAGGGCCCCAUCCAACCCAGCUUUGAAUGCCUCCAACGAUG